AGAGUUUGAUCCUGGCUCAGGAUGAACGCUAGCUACAGGCUUAACACAUGCAAGUCGAGGGGAAACGACAUCGAAAGCUUGCUUUUGAUGGGCGUCGACCGGCGCACGGGUGAGUAACGCGUAUCCAACCUGCCCAUCACUUGGGGAUAACCUUGCGAAAGUAAGACUAAUACCCAAUGAUAUCUCUAGAAGGCAUCUGAAAGAGAUUAAAGAUUUAUCGGUGAUGGAUGGGGAUGCGUCUGAUUAGCUUGUUGGCGGGGUAACGGCCCACAAAGCAACGAUCAGUAGGGGUUCUGAGAGGAACGGUCCCCCANAUUGGAACUGAGACACGGUCCAAACUCCGUACGGGAGGCA
rnacentral:rRNA from 1 species